rnacentral:rRNA from 1 species
CAAUUUAUCGACCUCAGAGCAGG